GUGCUCGCUCCGGCAGCACAUACACUAAACUGGAACAAUACAGGGAUUAGCAUGGCCCCUGCACAAAGAUGACACGCAAAUUCGUGAAGCGUUCUGUAAUUUA